UAGAAAAACAUUAUGAAACUAUUUUUUAUGUGAGUCUCAAAAUACGUGCAAACAAUGUAAAAAAUCUGCUGAGAACAGGUAAAAUCAGAAUAAAAUUUAUCAAACACAAAAUCUCGGUUUUUGUAGAAGAUCUCGUCGACAUAAAAAAUCUAGAAAAUGUGAAUCAACAUCAUAAAUCGUUACGUGAAAUUUCCACGGUUGCCUAGCACCAACCUCAUAUUGAAGUGCUUUUAAGACCUGACCCAACUCGAAAUCAAAGAAAUUGGUUGAAUCUUGAAUGUAAAAUGACACAAAGGUGCGUCAGAACUAAGAACUCAACCAGUUUUUCAUAUUAGGAGGUCAUCCAUGGCAGCCUGCAUAGGAUAUGUUUCCACGUUUGUUCGCAACAAACUAUCCUAGCAUGUUGUCAUCGAUUAACGUGGCUUCAAACCUGUGCGGCGGUGCCACCUUUCGGAUUUUUAAAUAUAUCUUUAUAUUUAUAUAAAGGAGGUUCCUCCCACGCUGACGUGGCAGGCCCCUGCAGCCUUCUUUCAAAUUCUGUGAUUUUCUGGAUUUUUGCUAUUUAAUAAUCACAAUUUUUUAAAAUUGCAUAUUUUUUUAAAGCUAGCUGAAGAGUUACUGGAUUCAUGACUUUUUAGUGUCCUGUAUAUCAAACGCCUUGAUAAACCCCGCAGCAUCGAAAACCCCUUCGCCCAACUCGGCUCAAUCUCUCUCAAACUUCAAAGAUGCAAUCGCAGCCCUACAGCAAAGCGCCCGAGACAGAGAGAGAGAGACAGGAGAUGAUUGUAUAUUGGGUCGCCACAUUGAUUUGGAUAUACUGAUAAUCUCUUUUUUCCUCUCAAGCUUACAAAAUUUUGUCAAUGUUUUUUUUAUUGUGAUUCAGUGUGCUGGAGGUUCAUAUGGAGCUGGCAAUGCUAUGCAAGAUGAAAUUUCCAAGGAUCAUCUUAAGCAUGUCUUGGAAUAUCGAAAAUCUGUACUCCAGAAAGAAGAGGCGAUGGCUUGCAUUAAUCAGGUUUUAUUCUUCCAGUUUUUUUUUUUUGGCCUCCCACUUCCUUCAUGUAUAUUUCACGGUUAUUGUAAAAAGGGUCAUAUGUUCCGGUCCAUUUCUGCAAGUAUUAUAGAGACAAGUCUAUAAUGUAGUUAUUUGCAAACUUCUGGCCUCCUGAACUCGAAAUUGAAAUUUUAUUUGGCCUAUGAUUUUUUGAGAAGAUGGCAUAUGGGAAUGGCCUCAAGCUCUGCUGUUCAUGAUUCCUCAAUUGCGGGGCAUUGAGCCUCGGUUCUCUGAGGGGCAUGAUCAGGUUAUGUGGAUUUCGAAAGAAGAAAAGCAAGUAAAUUUUAGUAUUAAUCAAGUCUGGGAGGAUAUUAGGCUGAGAAAUUCCAAAGUGAUAUGGUGGCAUUUGAUUCGGUUUGCUAAAAGUAUUCCUAAACAUUGUUUCACUUUUUGGCUAGCUGUCCGGGAUCGACUGCUUACGCAAGAUCGCCUUAAAUUUUGGCAAAUUCAUAGAAGUGCUGCGUUUAGUUUUUGUGGAGGUCUUGGAUAAUUUGUUUUUUCAGUGUGGUUUUUGUCUUAAUGUAUUAAGGGCUUUUCAAUUGAGAGGUUAUUGUUUGUUGUACAAAGGGUGCUGGGAGGAGUUUAUUCGAGCUUCAGCUGUUACUUGGCAGCAGGGGCGUCUCCAGGAUUUCGGAGGCCCUAGUAAUAUACUACAAAGAAUCAAAAAUAUGUAGUAUCUAGUAUAGAAAAUUAAUUUUGAAUUAAAAAUCUCAAAGUAGAGAAGAAUUGAAGAGAUCACUAUAUAUUAUCUUUGCUGGCAUGCUGCUCUGGUUCUAUAUCUGCUCAAUUGAGCGUAUUAGGUUUUCUACUUUUUGGAUAUAUUAAAGACUUAAAGUGAUUUAAAAUAUUGAAAAACAUUAUAUUUUAUUGGGCUUUUAUCUAUUUUUUAUUUUAUUACAUGAGCCUAAAGUUAAAUGACUGUAUAUAUAGGAGGCCCCUGUAUGGAUGGAGGCCCUAGGCAAAUAGAUGGGAAGACUCCCCCUGAAGACGCCUCUGCUUGGCAGGGUAAAUCGUUGCAUGUUUUGGUCAAUGAACUGGUUUUAGCAUCUAUAAUACUACUCCAUCUCUGGCAUGAACGAAAUAGAAGAUUAUUUGUGGGGCAGAUUAUUCAGUUGUUAAUUCUCCGAGGGUGAGAGAAGAGAUGUUAAGUUGGGGUUUAAAUCCUGAGCUCCUUUCAAUCCAAUUGUGUUGAUAUGGAGGACUUUAUUUUUCUGCUGGAAAUUCGCUCUAGGAGUCAAGGACAUAAUUCUGGUCUGUAUGUCUGGGAUUUUGUGUUUGUUGUUGCUUGUUGGAUUUGGCUGUUGAGAGUUAUAUUUUGCUAUAAUUUUUGGGUCUUAACGUGCUAUUUAUUAGAGCACUGUCGUAGGUUAUUGGGUCUGCAGAUCUCAGUUUGCUUGCAAGGUCUUUCUCAGUCACCUCUUUGGAAUGCUCGAGCUUUUUUGUUUGGGUGCCGAUGUCGUUGCUACGUUUUGGAGUUCUUUAGUCUGGGAGUUUCUGGCUUGGUGUUGCUGUUGUAAUCUGGGUUUGUUUAAUUUGUAUGGAAGUUGCUGUUUUAAGUUGGGAGUGUGGUACAGAUUUAGGAGUGAAUUUUGGUUGUUGUUGUUCGUGUGUUUGGUUGUUUUCCGGAUGAAGGUUUUAUUGGCAGGGGAUGUGGUUUUUGCUUUGCGGCUGGGUGUGUGUUUUAUAUCAGUUUCCUGCUGCUGUCUGAAUCUAGGAUUUUUUCCAGUUUGCAUCACAGAGGUUAGUUGCAGAUGCUGCAGGUAGAAGGUUAUGGUUUUUAUUCUGUAGGCUUGCAGCGAUCAGACGUUGUACUGGCAGUGUGGUCCUGUCUUCCUAUCUUAUUUCGGCAAAUCUGUUGGUGCCUGAAUUGGGUGGGGAUAGCAUUUACCUUGGGUUGUAAUAUUGGUAAGGGAUUGCCGUGGCUUAUAAAGUUUUUUAAUUGCUGAAUGGGUGCGGUUAUUUAUAUUGAUUUGUCUCGAAUUUUAAUUUAUUAUAUACUUUUCAUUGUGAUCA